AACCUUGAUUUUAGUCUAAUGAUGAAUUUCAUAGGGCAGAUUCUGGGAUGAAAAUUUAACUCAUCACUAAUAUUCCUAGUAUUGGCACCACAGGAGCCU